GACGAACGCUGGCGGCGUGCUUAACACAUGCAAGUCGAACGGAAAGGCCCUGCUUUUGUGGGGUGCUCGAGUGGCGAACGGGUGAGUAACACGUGAGUAACCUGCCCUUGACUUUGGGAUAACUUCAGGAAACUGGGGCUAAUACCGGAUAGGAGCUCCUGCUGCAUGGUGGGGGUUGGAAAGUUUCGGCGGUUGGGGAUGGACUCGCGGCUUAUCAGCUUGUUGGUGGGGUAGUGGCUUACCAAGGCUUUGACGGGUAGCCGGCCUGAGAGGGUGACCGGCCACAUUGGGACUGAGAUACGGCCCAGACUCCUACGGGAGGCAGCAGUGGGGAAUAUUGCACAAUGGGCGGAAGCCUGAUGCAGCAACGCCGCGUGCGGGAUGACGGCCUUCGGGUUGUAAACCGCUUUCGCCUGUGACGAAGCGUGAGUGACGGUAAUGGGUAAAGAAGCACCGGCUAACUACGUGCCAGCAGCCGCGGUGAUACGUAGGGUGCGAGCGUUGUCCGGAUUUAUUGGGCGUAAAGGGCUCGUAGGUGGUUGAUCGCGUCGGAAGUGUAAUCUUGGGGCUUAACCCUGAGCGUGCUUUCGAUACGGGUUGACUUGAGGAAGGUAGGGGAGAAUGGAAUUCCUGGUGGAGCGGUGGAAUGCGCAGAUAUCAGGAGGAACACCAGUGGCGAAGGCGGUUCUCUGGGCCUUUCCUGACGCUGAGGAGCGAAAGCGUGGGGAGCGAACAGGCUUAGAUACCCUGGUAGUCCACGCUGUAAACGGUGGGUACUAGGUGUGGGGUCCAUUCCACGGGUUCCGUGCCGUAGCUAACGCUUUAAGUACCCCGCCUGGGGAGUACGGCCGCAAGGCUAAAACUCAAAGGAAUUGACGGGGCCCCGCACAAGCGGCGGAGCAUGCGGAUUAAUUCGAUGCAACGCGUAGAACCUUACCUGGGUUUGACAUGGAUCGGGAGCGCUCAGAGAUGGGUGUGCCUCUUUUGGGGUCGGUUCACAGGUGGUGCAUGGCUGUCGUCAGCUCGUGUCGUGAGACGUUGGGUUAAGUCCCGCAACGAGCGCAACCCUUGUUCACUGUUGCCAGCACGUUAUGGUGGGGACUCAGUGGAGACCGCCGGGGUCAACUCGGAGGAAGGUGGGGAUGACGUCAAGUCAUCAUGCCCCUUAUGUCCAGGGCUUCACGCAUGCUACAAUGGCUGGUACAGAGAGUGGCGAGCCUGUGAGGGUGAGCGAAUCUCGGAAAGCCGGUCUCAGUUCGGAUUGGGGUCUGCAACUCGACCUCAUGAAGUCGGAGUCGCUAGUAAUCGCAGAUCAGCAACGCUGCGGUGAAUACGUUCCUGGGGCU
rnacentral:rRNA from 1 species